rnacentral:rRNA from 1 species
CCUGAGAAACCCAAAAGAUCGAAUGGGGAGAUUCAUCGUCAGCUCAUUUUGUAUAUAUAUAUGUUAUGAUAUAGGUUACUACUUUAUUGUAGUAUUGCUUGUACAUUCUUAUAUAUUUAGUUGCAAGAUGUUGUCGGCGUGCACUUCUUCCCUAGUAGGACGUCGCGACCCGUUGGGUGUUGGUCUACGGCCCAAAUGAUUAGUCUUUAAUAUAUUUAUUAUAUUAAAGUUCAUUGGUGUUUCCUGACCAUCUACUCGGCGGUACACAUACGGUAUUAAGCCGCAAUUAUAUGCGUUCAUUCCCGUCGCAAGCGAGGCAAAUUUCUAAUAGUACGGACCUAGUGCCGUCGUUGGUAUUUGCCAGCUGUUGGUUGUUACGGUGUUCUAGAACUGGCUAAUAAUAAUUACCGGUCGGCGAUGCUACUGCUUUGGGUACUUUCAGGACCCGUCUUGAAACACGGACCAAGGAGUCUAACAUGUGCGCGAGUCAUUGGGAUUUUUUUUUUUAAAAUUAAACCUAAAGGCAUAAUGAAAGUAAAGGUCGUCCUUGUGUCGACUAAGGGAARAUGAGUUAUGUUAUGAUAUAGCUCCGCAUUCCCGGGGCGUCUCAUUCUUAUUAUAARAARAGGCGCACUUAG